AGUGAACGCUGGCGGUAGGCCUAACACAUGCAAGUCGAACGGCAGCACAGUAAGAGCUUGCUCUUACGGGUGGCGAGUGGCGGACGGGUGAGGAAUACAUCGGAAUCUACUUUUUCGUGGGGGAUAACGUAGGGAAACUUACGCUAAUACCGCAUACGACCUACGGGUGAAAGCAGGGGAUCUUCGGAACUUGCGCGAUUGAAUGAGCCGAUGUCGGAUUAGCUAGUUGGCUGGGUAAAGGCCCACCAAGGCGACGAUCCGUAGCUGGUCUGAGAGGAUGGGCAGCCACACUGGAACUGAGCUACGGCCCAGACUCAUACGGGAGGCAGCGGUGGGGAAUAUUGGACAAUGGGCGCAAGCCUGAUCCAGCCAUACCGAGUGGGGGAAGAAGGCCUUCGGGUUGGAAAGCCCUUAUGUUGGGAAAGAAAAGCAGCAGGUUAAUACCCCGCUGUUCUGACGGUACCCAAAGAAUAAGCACCGGCUAACUUCGUG
rnacentral:rRNA from 1 species